CGAGCUGAGGCGGAGAGAAGCGAGUUGCCGGUGCGAAAUAUCUAAAUUUUUAAGAUUGUAUUACUGGUGAAGAUUGUGGUGAGAGAGAAAUUUUAAGGAAUAAUUUAUUGAAAAAGCCACAAGGAGAAGAGCCACGAGUGACACGUGGAGGAGUCCCAGAGGCUUAGUGGUAUAGAUCCACUGUCUCUUUUGGGUAUUUAAUUUAUGAUUUAUAAUGUGUUAUAUUGCCAAUAUUAGGGCUUUUUGUUUAUUGUCAAUUAUAUGAAUAUAUAAAUGUAAUCAUGUCUUUCAAACUAUUUCUAUUUUUGGUACAAUUUGGAUGACUGUAAUUUUAAUAUUUGGUUUACUUUGGAUUGGUUAAAAUGGCAUGAUUAUAAGGCCAAAUAACUGGCUUGUGUUGAAAA